rnacentral:lncRNA from 10 species
GUUGCACAAGUGCCUUGUGGGAAAUGUGACUGCCUGAAAUAGUGGCUAAUAAUGGCUUGUUUCCAACCGAAGCCCAUUUGCCUUUCAUGGUUAACAUUCUCCAGGCCCAGGGCAGGGAAACAGAAGUCCCGGAAGCUCAGGCUGCUGCUGCCUGUGAUGGAAAUGGUCUCUAUGGUGACUCCCCGCAGGAAACCUGCCUGGGUGAUGUCUUCCUGAGGACCAUAGCCUGUCCGCUUGGGGCCAUUAUCUGGACAAUUGGGAGCCGAAUACCACCCAAAAAUAGCCAGACACCAGAAUAUAAGUAUUUUGUAUUACAGUCUCACUAAAUUUGGGAAAGUAGGAGAAGGGUAAGAGUGCAGGCUUUGCAGGCAGCUGGACCUAGGCUCUGCCAGCUACUAAUGGUGUGGCCUUGAGCAACUGAAGUUCGAGGAGCCUGUUUCCCUGGCUACAAUUCAGGGAUGAUUGGGGUUGCAUUCCAUAAAUGCAAUAUUUUGAAUAUCAGAUGUCAAAUGCCUGAAAAUACCACCAAAUCAACCCUCAGAUAAGGCAGCCAGGUUUCCUGCUACCAUGGGACUUGAUUAAGAUUGGGAAGAGCCAUGACCUAGGAGUUUGGGAUGGGAAGACAUGGCAAGGCAAGAGUUUUUGAAGAGUCUUGGUGAAAAGACAGUCAUUAGAUGCUAUUAAAAAGUUGUACAAUCU